rnacentral:rRNA from 1 species
UACAGAAGGGGCAAGCGUUGUUCGGAAUUACUGGGCGUAAAGGGCGCGUAGGCGGCCUUCUAAGUCGAACGUGAAAUCCCCGGGCUCAACCCGGGAACUGCGUCCGAUACUGGAAGGCUUGAAUCCGGGAGAGGGAUGCGGAAUUCCAGGUGUAGCGGUGAAAUGCGUAGAUAUCUGGAGGAACACCAGUAGCGAAGGCGGCUCGCUGGGCCAUUCCUGACGCUGAGACGCGAAAGCUAGGGGAGCGAACAGG